rnacentral:rRNA from 1 species
GGAAAUCAGCCGGUACUCGCGAAUGUCUAGAUUUAGUUUGAUCAUGGCUCAGAGNGAACGCUGUGCGGUAGGCCUAACACAUGCAAAGGUCGAACGGCAGCACAGGAGAGCCUUGCUCUCUGGGUGGCGAGUGGCCGGACCGGGGUGAGGAAUACAUCGGAAUCUACUCUGUCGUGGGGGAUAACCGGUUAGGGAAACUUACGCUAAUACCGCAUACGAACCUUAACCCGGGUGAAAGCAGGGGAUCUUCGGACCUUGCGCGAUUGAAUGAGCCGAUGUCGGAUUAGCUAGUUGGCGGGGUAAAGGCCCACCCACAACAGGGGCCCCAGGAAAAACCAGGGGAAAAUUUCCCCCCAGGGGUUUAAACAGGGCCNCAUUU